GUACUUUUGUUGUCUCCCUUUUUUUGUUUUGGGGUAAUUUACAAUGAAACAGUUGUUUAGAUCUAAGGUAAAAUGUCAUUUGUAAUUAAAUGUACAAAUAUGAAUAACUCAAUGUAUUUAAUGCUAAAAUAUUAAUUGAAUAAAAUUGAGAAAGGAAAUGGGAAUGUGUCAAAUCGACAACAACCCGACCAUAGAGCAGACAACAGCCGAAGGCCACCAAUGGGUCUUCAAUGUAGAAAGAAACUCCCAUACCCGUAGGCGUCCUUCAGCUGGCCCCUUAAAACUAUGUAUACAAGUACAGUGAUAAUGGACGUCAUACUAAACUCCGAAUUGUACACAAGAAACUAAAAUUAAAAAUCAGACAAGACUAACAAAGGCCAGAGGCUCCUGACUUGGGACAGGCGCAAAAUUGUGGCAGGGUUAAACAUGUUUAUGAGAUCUCAACCCUCCCCCUAUACCUCUAGCCAAUGUAGAAAAGUAACUGCAUAACAAUAAAGUGAAGUUUACAUUGUUAUGAACUUCUGUAUACAAAGAUAAUUGGCAAAAACUUUAACUAGAUAUUCCGAUGUUGUUACUUUUGUAAUUUGCUCUUUCUUUUGCCAGAAGUCUUACAGAUUCAGAUUAAGACUUUUCAGAGGAACUAUAUAAGUUUCUUUGACUGAAUUAACUUUUAUUGUAAUGAAUUUUGUUUGUCCAAAUAGAAGUAAAAAAGUGUUGGGUUCUAUGUGUUUUCCUCAGAUGUAUAUUAGCUACAAUGGUAAUCAUGAUGAGUGUGUUUUUGUAAGAAACUUUUAUAGCCCUUUUUGGCAGCUGAAGAUGUGUUUAGCCAAGAAAAUUUGUUGAUUUUCUUUAUUUCUGUGUUGAGAAUAAUGUACUUCUAUUUAAGAACUGAAACUCUAUACUGGUAACUAUUCUAUAUGUAUAUUUUGUCUGUAGAUGGCAGAAAAAUGUUCCCUGUAAUGGUAUGUGUAUUGAUUACCAUUGAAAAAAUGUUGUUUUACCUUUUGAAAUUCAACCUUUACCAAAAGGUCAAUGUUAGGUCCUGCCCUCACCAGGUGUCUGUUGUUGUCGUCCAUUCAUCUUUAAUUUUUUUAAUCUUCUCAAAAAGAACUCUUUGUGUAAACCCUUUCCUCCAUAAUGACGCCUUUGACGCCACCCCCUUUACUCCAUAAUGACGCCUUUUGACGCCUGUGUAAUGCAUCAGUUAAAACAUUCUCCUACGAAAAAUCUGUAUCAGACUUAAUAAAAAUUUGUAUCUGAUAUAAAAAGGAUAUUCAUGAGAAUAUACGACUGGAAUUUCAUUGAUGAAAUAUUUGUUUUCCCAAUGCAUUAUGACUUUAAACCUGAUGAAUUUUUUUUUUUGAAACAAUCCUAAGCGAAUCAAGUAUGUAAAAAAAAAAAAUCUAUGGAGGAAAGGGUUAAUGAAAUUACCUGAUUGCAUCUUGUUUGUAAACUGUAUUAAAUUGUAAACCUUUUUUUAUGUUUUUAAGACAAUUUCUAUAAGGCUAGAAAGGUACUGUAAUAAUAGCAAAUGAUCAGCAAAAUGGGAUCUAGAAAUAAGUUAACUUUACUGAAAAUUGUCAAUCAAUUUCUUAAGGAAGUUAUUAUCUUUUUUGCCUACAAGUUCAAAUAAAAUGCUAAGUCUAACAGUAUUUAUGACAUUACACGUUUUCAAAAUUUUAUUUUCAUUCAGCAAGAUAAAAAUAUCUUUUGUUCUAUAUUCAAGACCAUGAACUAGUUUACAGUAGAAAUGACUAUGAUAAUUUGUUUUUUAAUACGGUCUUGUAUCCUUGAUAGCAGACGUCAUCUGUGACAUGUUUGUUGUGUUUUACAGGAAGUACUACUAUUUUUGUACUAUUAUUGACAGUUUGUAUAAAAGAUAAAGAGGAUGAAAACCGGUCACUGAGUACAUUUUCAAGAAAAUUAUAGUGUCACAAAGAUGAGCGAUUUUUAUCCCUUAGUAUUCUAGUGCUGUAUAUAACUUUACAAUUUAUAUUACCAUAUAUUAGUCACCCUUCAAAGACAUGGUGAACAACUAUUCCUCUGAACAAUUCGGACACUGGUUUCUUUCUUUAAGAUAUCAUGAUGACAUGAAAGAAAGGUUUGAAAUUUAGAGUUUCGUUCCUUAAAAAGAAGCUCACGUUUGCUUUAACCGUUAAAUUUGUCUGUCUAACCAUUUGCUGUCAGCAGUUUAUUUUCAAGCAGCUACAUAUACAAAAUCUGCUCCUCUGUCAAGGAACCAACUAUCUAAAUUAUUCCAAACCAAACCAUAGUACCAAAACCAUUUAUCAGGAACACCAGACCAAAUGGUUAAUACAAAAUCAUACAUCUACUUUUGUUAUAAACUUAUUGAUAACUUUGUUGUCUCAAAUUGUAUUGUUUUUGUACAUUUGUUGAAAAAAUGAAGAGUAAUAUUAUGUUUCUUUUGACGUGUACAUAUUUUGGAGUUAUUUCCCCUGUACAAUAUUGUUGUUUCUUCCUCAACUGUUAUGUGAUAUGUGAACAUUUUUUAGAAGUUGUUGUGUAAAACAAAGCAUUACAAAAAAACUUUAUUAUGUAAAACCACUGUAUCAUAG
rnacentral:lncRNA from 1 species